rnacentral:tRNA from 1 species
GGAUGGGUGGCCGAGCGGUUUAAGGCACCGGUCUUGAAAACCGGCGUGGGUGUAAGCUCACCGUGGGUUCGAAUCCCACCCCAUCCGCCA